GUGUUUGAGGGUAUCAAAAUGGCACACGUCUUUAAGUACAAUUUAAAGAGAAGAUUUAUUAAGUGUUAAAAAGGACAAAGGUAUCCCAGUUUAUAAAGCACAGGAAGCACAGAACAAUAACUGAUGCAAUGCUUUAUCAGGAACAAGGACACCAUCUCAGAAAUGAAGAGGGAGAUUGAACUGCCUUCAAAAAAGAAGAGCCAGGACUGAAGCAUGUUCUCUGGGCCCUGGGGUAUCUGAGCUGUCCUCCUUGGUCCAGGAGGCAUAGAACUGUGACGUCAGAGAAGGUGAGAAGUGGAAGAGACAAUGCAGAAAUGGAGGAGCAGCAGAAGCAGCAGAACC